GGAUAACCUACCCUUUAGGACUGGGAUAACCCUGGGAAACUGGGGCUAAUACCGGAUAGGCAAUUAUUCCUGCAAUGGUUUUUUGUUUAAAUGUUUUUUCGCCUAAGGAUAGGUCUGCGGCUGAUUAGGUCGUUGGUGGGGUAAUGGCCCACCAAGCCGAUGAUCGGUACGGGUUGUGAGAGCAAGGGCCCGGAGAUGGAACCUGAGACAAGGUUCCAGACCCUACGGGGUGCAGCAGGCGCGAAACCUCCGCAAUGUACGAAAGUGCGACGGGGGGAUCCCAAGUGCCAUUCUUAACGGGAUGGCUUUUCUUAAGUGUAAAAAGCUUUUGGAAUAAGAGCUGGGCAAGACCGGUGCCAGCCGCCGCGGUAACACCGGCAGCUCUAGUGGUAGCUGUUUUUAUUGGGCCUAAAGCGUUCGUAGCCGGUUUGAUAAGUCACUGGUGAAAUCCUGUAGCUUAACUGUGGGAAUUGCUGGUGAUACUGUUGAACUUGAGGUCGGGAGAGGUUAGCGGUACUC
rnacentral:rRNA from 1 species